UACGAAGGGGGCUAGCGUUGUUCGGAUUUACUGGGCGUAAAGGGCGCGUAGGCGGUCAGCACAAGUCAGUUGUGAAAUCUCCGGGCUUAACUCGGAAAGGUCAACUGAUACUGUGCGACUAGAGUGCGGAAGGGGCAACUGGAAUUCUCGGUGUAGCGGUGAAAUGCGUAGAUAUCGAGAGGAACACCUGCGGCGAAGGCGGGUUGCUGGGCCGACACUGACGCUGAUGCGCGAAAGCUAGGGGAGCGAACGGG
rnacentral:rRNA from 1 species